rnacentral:sRNA from 1 species
GCCUCCGUGACCCUGUCUACGGCUGCG